rnacentral:tRNA from 1 species
GCCCGGGUGGUGAAAUUGGUAGACACGCCAGCUUGAGGGGCUGGUGCUCUUAAGGGUGUGCUGGUUCGAAUCCAGUCUCGGGCA